GACGUAGGGCGCGAGCGUUGUCCGGAUUUAUUGGGCGUAAAGAGCUCGUAGGCGGUUUGUCGCGUCUGCUGUGAAAACUCGGGGCUUAACUCCGGGCCUGCAGUGGGUACGGGCAGACUAGAGUGCGGUAGGGGAGACUGGAAUUCCUGGUGUAGCGGUGGAAUGCGCAGAUAUCAGGAGGAACACCGAUGGCGAAGGCAGCCAUCUGGACCGACACUGACGCUGAGGCGCGAAAGCGUGGGGAGCAAACAGG
rnacentral:rRNA from 1 species